UACGUGGGGUGCAAGCGUUAAUCGGAAUUACUGGGCGUAAAGCGUGCGCAGGCGGUUCGGAAAGAGAGGUGUGAAAUCCCAGGGCUCAACCUUGGAACUGCACUUUUAACUACCGAGCUAGAGUAUGUCAGAGGGGGGUGGAAUUCCGCGUGUAGCAGUGAAAUGCGUAGAUAUGCGGAGGAACACCGAUGGCGAAGGCAGCCCCCUGGGAUAAUACUGACGCUCAUGCACGAAAGCGUGGGGAGCAAACAGG
rnacentral:rRNA from 1 species